UACAGAGGUGGCAAGCGUUGUUCGGAAUUACUGGGCGUAAAGGGCGCGUAGGCGGCUUGGUCAGUCCCGUGUGAAAUCCCUCGGCUCAACUGAGGAACUGCACGGGAAACUGCCUGGCUUGAGUUCGGGAGAGGGAAGCGGAAUUCCGGGUGUAGCGGUGAAAUGCGUAGAUAUCCGGAGGAACACCAGAGGCGAAGGCGACCUCCUGGGUCGUACCUGACGCUGAGAUGCGAAAGCUAGGGGAGCAAACGGG
rnacentral:rRNA from 1 species